rnacentral:snoRNA from 1 species
CUACAGCCAAUUUAGCCAUCUAAGCUCUGCUCCUCAAAGGAACUGGGUGCGAAAUGGCUGCAAAAAGCAGCCUCCCCUGCAGUGCACAGUUCCUGUUGCUUAUUUGGGCUGCUCUGAGAAGCCUUAGAGACAGCC